rnacentral:tRNA from 1 species
GGUGGCUUAGCAGUAGAGUGCUUGCUUUGCAAGCAUGAGGCCCUGGGUUCGAUUCCUCAGCACCA